CCUACGGGCGGCUGCAGUGGGGAAUAUUGCGCAAUGGGGGGAACCCUGACGCAGCAACGCCGCGUGAAGGAUGAAGGCCUUCGGGUUGUAAACUUCUUUGAUUGGGGAAGAAAUUUGACGGUACCCAAAGAACAAGCCACGGCUAACUACGUGCCAGCAGCCGCGGUAAUACGUAGGUGGCGAGCGUUGUCCGGAAUUACUGGGUGUAAAGGGCGUGUAGGCGGGGAUGCAAGUCAGAUGUGAAAUUCCGGGGCUCAACCCCGGCACUGCAUCUGAAACUGUGUCUCUUGAGUGCUGGAGAGGAAAGUGGAAUUCCUAGUGUAGCGGUGAAAUGCGUAGAGAUUAGGAGGAACACCAGUGGCGAAGGCGACUUUCUGGACAGUAACUGACGCUGAGGCGCGAGAGCGUGGGGAGCAAACAGGAUUAGAUACCCCUGUAGUC
rnacentral:rRNA from 1 species